AGAGUUUGAUCCUGGCUCAGGAUGAACGCUGGCGGCAUGCCUAAUACAUGCAAGUCGAACGAGAGACCUUCGGGUCUCUAGUGGCGAACGGGUGAGUAACACGUAGGGAACCUGCCCGCGCACCGGGAAUACGCUCUGGAAACGGAGAACAAAUCCCGAUGUACAGGAAGGAGGCAUCUUCUUUCUGUGAAACAUCCUCUAGGGGAUGGGGCGCGGAUGGACCUGCGGUGCAUUAGUUGGUUGGCGGGGUAAAGGCCCACCAAGACGAUGAUGCAUAGCCGGCCUGAGAGGGCGGACGGCCACAUUGGGACUGAGACACGGCCCAGACUCCUGCGGGAGGCAGCAGUAGGGAAUUUUCGUCAAUGGGCGCAAGCCUGAACGAGCGAUGCCGCGUGAGUGAAGAAGGCCUUCGGGUCGUAAAGCUCUGUUGCGGGGGAAAAAAGGCAGCAUCAGGAAAUGGGUGCUGACUGAUGGUGCCCCGCCAGAAAGUCACGGCUAACUACGUGCCAGCAGCCGCGGUAAUACGUAGGU
rnacentral:rRNA from 1 species